GCAGAUUCAAUUACAACAGGUUGCAGCACACUCCCAGAGAAAGACAAACUUACUACAGAUUAGGUAGAUAUUUCAAACUCAACAAAGCGGGGUAAGUCAAGCCUGUUCCUACAGUUACAAGUUAAUAGUAGUAACUUUGUGAACCUAAUGGAGUAGGUUUUCUUCAUUAAUCCCAAAGUUUCUUUGGGUCUUUUUGUUUUUUAAAGUGCAAGCGAUCUUUAAAU